rnacentral:rRNA from 1 species
UGGGGAAUUUUGGACAAUGGGGGAAACCCUGAUCCAGCCAUCCCGCGUGUGCGAUGAAGGCCUUCGGGUUGUAAAGCACUUUUGGCAGGAAAGAAACGUCAUGGGUUAAUACCCCGUGAAACUGACGGUACCUGCAGAAUAAGCACCGGCUAACUACGUGCCAGCAGCCGCGGUAAUACGUAGGGUGCAAGCGUUAAUCGGAAUUACUGGGCGUAAAGCGUGCGCAGGCGGUUCGGAAAGAAAGAUGUGAAAUCCCAGAGCUCAACUUUGGAACUGCAUUUUUAACUAACGGGCUAGAGGGUGGCAGAGGGAGGUGGAAUUCCGCGUGUAGCAGUGAAAUGCGUAGAUAUGCGGAGGAACACAGAUGGCGAAGGCAGCCUCCUGGAAUAACACUGACGCUCAUGCACGAAAGCGUGGGGAGCAAACAGG